UCAAACUUGGUCAUUUAGAGGAAGUAAAAGUCGUAACAAGGUUUCCGUAGGUGAACCUGCGGAAGGAUCAUUAUUGAACAUAAAUUGAACGCGGGGCUGCUGCUGGUUCCUUUGCAACAUGUGCACGUCUUUGCGUUUCAUUUUUACAUGUGUUCCUCCUGUGCACCAGUGGUGGAGAUCUGUCCGAAAGCAAUGAACCGCUUCGAAGGAUGAACUUUGGUGGAAAGGAACUAGCAGCACGUCAAAGGGCCGCUUUUUCUUUGAAAGGGUAGCAUGCUUUUAGAUGGCUCUCCACUGUAUCUCCUUUGUCACACCUGUAUGAACUGUUGGACGAAAAAGCUAGACCUUUGAUGUCUUUUAAAUCGCAUAUAACUUUCAACAACGGAUCUCUUGGCUCUCGCAUCGAUGAAGAACGCAGC
rnacentral:misc_RNA from 1 species